rnacentral:rRNA from 1 species
GAUAAGGAGCUUGCUCCUUUGACGUUAGCGGCGGACGGGUGAGUAACACGUGGGUAACCUACCUAUAAGACUGGAAUAACUCCGGGAAACCGGGGCUAAUGCCGGAUAAUAUUUAGAACCGCAUGGUUCUAAAGUGAAAGAUGGUUUUGCUAUCACUUAUAGAUGGACCCGCGCCGUAUUAGCUAGUUGGUGGGGUAAUGGCUUACCAAGGCAACGAUACGUAGCCGACCUGAGAGGGUGAUCGGCCACACUGGAACUGAGACACGGUCCAGACUCCUACGGGAGGCAGCAGUAGGGAAUCUUCCGCAAUGGGCGAAAGCCUGACGGAGCAACGCCGCGUGAGUGAUGAAGGUCUUCGGAUCGUAAAACUCUGUUAUUAGGGAAGAACAAAUGUGUAAGUAACUGUGCACGUCUUGACGGUACCUAAUCAGAAAGCCACGGCUAACUACGUGCCAGCAGCCGCGGUAAUACGUAGGUGGCAAGCGUUAUCCGGAAUUAUUGGGCGUAAAGCGCGCGUAGGCGGUUUCUUAAGUCUGAUGUGAAAGCC